ACAGCAGUAGCCACGGUAAUACGUAGGUGGCAAGCGUUGUCCGGAGUUAUUGGGCGUAAAGGGCUCGCAGGCGGUUUCUUAAGUCUGAUGUGAAAGCCCCCGGCUCAACCGGGGAGGGUCAUUGGAAACUGGGAAACUUGAGUGCAGAAGAGGAGAGUGGAAUUCCACGUGUAGCGGUGAAAUGCGUAGAGAUGUGGAGGAACACCAGUGGCGAAGGCGACUCUCUGGUCUGUAACUGACGCUGAGGAGCGAAAGCGUGGGGAGCGAACAGGAUUAGAUACCCCGGUAGUCCCUGUCUCUUAUAC
rnacentral:rRNA from 1 species